CCAAUCCUAGCUGAACAGCGACCGUAGGUUACUAAGUUCCGCAUCUUCAUGAUUUUGUUCUAUUUCAGCUGAAUUUAGAAUAGCGGCGGCCGAGCUUCCUGUCUCCCUUCCAUUUCUCUGUUUCUUGCUUGGACUGGGAGUGGAGGAUGAUGAGGUGGGCGCGGAUUCCUCCGAAUACAUGGCGCUCCCUGCCCCCAUGGAAAGUUGACGCAGACGAAGCGCCAAAUCCAAUCCGCACGCGUGGGCAUGACCCAUGAUGAAACCGCCAGGAUACUCGUGCUCUCGAGUCUCGAGCUCCGACGCAACUCUGCACAGAGGAUGGUUGUGGCGCGGCCUGUGGAUAACUGCUGUUGGUUGGUAGACCAUGUCGAUCUCUCCUCCUAAGUAUGAUAUUUCUACUCCCUGUACCAGUUCGAUGACUAGAUAUUUAUUGUUAUUGGCUUUAUCUUCUGUCUCUUGUUCUACAUGAGUUCAUAUAUGACAUACAGAGAUUAACUUUAAACUUAUGAGAGGAUCCUCGGAUGUCUACGUGAUUGGCUGAACCAAUUCGUCCUACAGGCAGCUUGAAUAUAAGUUUUUCGUUGUCGGAAAUAGCAAACUUCCAUGCCCAGUUUUCUUUGGGAGUCGCAUAGUAUUUGGAAUAUUAUAUAAUUGAUGGCUCCAACAUGACAUACAGGUAGUCUCGUUCAUGACUUUGGUAUAAUGCUUUUGGAUAAUCUUGCUUGAAGAUUUUCAAGUGCAUAAAGCAUUUGUGAUAUUCAUGGUCACUCUGAGACUGCAUCUUUAUGAUUCGUGGGUGGCAGCACUUGGCAUUAUGCUCUAAUUUCUUUGAUGAAAUUGAUUAAUCGAUGACACUUGCAUUGUACAUCAGCCUAAGGACAAUCUCGCCUUCCUUUUUGUCUUUGAUAUUUAGUCCUUUUUAAACACCGUAGUAUAAAAAAUAGAAGAUCGCAAACGAUUGAUCAAAAUUGUUUGCGAGAGAAGAAUUUAAUAGGGAUAUAUGUUAUAAUUUUUUUACUUCGGUUUCCUAUUGUUUUGUGCUAUUCCCUUGUUAGAUCUAAGAACUAACUGAAGUUAUGGUUUGCCUUUCAUUAGAAUUGACUUUUUUUCCUCUUGACAUUAGUAGAUAACACAAACCUUUGGUGGAUAUCAUAGUCGGCAAAUCAAAACCAUGUUCCUGAGUCUCACACAGUUUUGCAGCAAGUGCUAAUUGCAAGAAGCAACCUAUUGCAGCAGCUGUGGUCUUUGUUUUUCCUGCUCAGGAGCUUUGAUCUGUUGCCUCUGCUAAAUUCUAAGCCAAUACUCUAGGUGUCAUCUAGGCUUUGCUGGCAACAAUAAGAAAGGCUUGGGCUCAACUGUGCUCUUGUAGCAAUUGAAAACUUAAAAAAGUAGAUUUGAGAAGUUGGGUACAGAACAAUACAACUACAGCAGGCCAAUGAUUAACUGUGUGCAACAAUAUUCGUAGUCACCAAGAACAACAUGUUUCUAGCAGUUUCAUUUAUUGUGUUCUAUAAUGAUACUCUGUUUUCUGGACUAACAUUAAAGAGUUUCUUGCCUUCCUUAAUGGAUAUACAUGAUAAACACAUAUCACUGA